CUCAGUUCGGAUCGGGGUCUGCAACUCGACCCCGUGAAGUCGGAGUCGCUAGUAAUCGCAGAUCAGCAACGCUGCGGUGAUACGUUCCCGGGCCUUGUACACACCGCCCGUCACGUCAUGAAAGUCGGUAACACCGAAGCCGGUGGCCUAACCCUUGUGGAGGGAGCCGUCGAAGGUGGGAUCGGCGAUGGGACGAAGUCGUAACAAGGUAGCCGUACCGGAAGGUGCGGCUGGAUCACUCCUUUCUAAGGAG
rnacentral:rRNA from 1 species